UAACUUAGUGGCGAACGGGUGAGUAACGCGUGAGUAACCUGCCCUGGAGUAGGGGACAACAGUUGGAAACGACUGCUAAUACCGCAUAAGCCCACGGCCCGGCAUCGGGCUGAGGGAAAAGGAUUUAUUCGCUUCAGGAUGGACUCGCGUCCAAUUAGCUAGUUGGUGAGGUAACGGCCCACCAAGGCGACGAUCGGUAGCCGGACUGAGAGGUUGAACGGCCACAUUGGGACUGAGACACGGCCCAGACUCCUACGGGAGGCAGCAGUGGGGGAUAUUGCACAAUGGGGGAAACCCUGAUGCAGCGACGCCGCGUGGAGGAAGAAGGUUUUCGGAUUGUAAACUCCUGUCGUUAGGGACGAUAAUGACGGUACCUAACAAGAAAGCACCGGCUAACUACGUGCCAGCAGCCGCGGUAAAACGUAGGGUGCAAGCGUUGUCCGGAAUUACUGGGUGUAAAGGGAGCGCAGGCGGACCGGCAAGUUGGAAGUGAAAACUAUGGGCUCAACCCAUAAAUUGCUUUCAAAACUGCUGGCCUUGAGUAGUGCAGAGGUAGGUGGAAUUCCCGGUGUAGCGGUGGAAUGCGUAGAUAUCGGGAGGAACACCAGUGGCGAAGGCGACCUACUGGGCACCAACUGACGCUGAGGCUCGAAAGCAUGGGUAGCAAACAGGAUUAGAUACCCCUGGUAGUCCAUGCCGUAAACGAUGAUUACUAGGUGUUGGAGGAUUGACCCCCUUCAGUGCCGCAGUUAACACAA
rnacentral:rRNA from 1 species